CUACCGAACACAAUGCAGUGUCUCUUGAAACCCAGCGUUUAGGUGGGUAUUUAGUGGGUCGGCUGUAACGUCUUGACAGUUAGCUAACGUUACUAGCUAGCUAGCAAGUUAGCAACCGCUAACGUUUUUAGCUAGCUUGUAAUCGUUAUAAGUUAUAAGUAACGUUAUCUGAGCUGGCUGCGCUAGCUAACGUUGUUAACGUCUCUAACAACGUUAGCUAUCUAAGUAACUAGCGAUUGCUAGGCAGUUACUGCAGCUAGCUAGCUAACCAGUCACUACAGCUAGUUAGAAACAGGCCUAACAACGUUAAAAAAUAAUAAUCUGCGGUCUGUAACAGCCGUUGCCCUAGCAAUGACAAUUCGCUUAUAUCACGCCGUCGCCAUUUUGAAACUUUCCUGUGCGAAAACGAGGCUAUGGUGGGAAGCGUUCUAGGAGCGGUGCUUACAUGAAGCAGAAAAGCGAUUUUGAGCCGGUGAUGCUACUAUGGCAUAUUGUUGUGUACCACGCUGUACGUCGUAUCAAAGGCGAGAAUGUGAUCAAGGCUUGUCUUUCCAUCGAUUUCCGAGUAACCCGGACACCCGUCGCCAGUGGAUUGCCAAGAUAAGGAGAGAUGUUGGACCUUAUUUUCAGAUCACAGACAACACAAAAGUGUGCUCCAAACACUUUCCCAAGGACUGCAUAUUAAGAUCGCUUACCGGUUUGAACAAACUGAAAAACGGGAGUGUGCCGUCUUUGUUUACAUGGUGUCAGCCCAAGACCAGAAGGACAAUUCAACGCUUCCAGAGUGCGACUGGUGACUUUGGUGAGGAAGAGGAAGAAGUGGACGUUUCAAAUCUGCAUGAGGAAGAAAAGUCAUUACCAGUUAUGUACAGGAAGAUCAGGCUGUGCAAAAUAAUAAUCAUAGGAUGAAAGUAUACUGCAUAUUUGUAUCUAGAAUACUCCUGCGAUAUUUAUCGAGUCUUCUGAUUUCCUUCUUCACAUGGAUUUUUUUUUAGAGUAGUGUGGCAAUAGCUUAUCUACUGCCAUAUGCUCCCUGCCUCACAAAGCAUGAAUAAGUAAAUCUGGUAAAAUAAAAAUUUGACCAUUUUUACUUUUGCUUUUUUUAGUUUUUUUUUUUUUA